AAGGCGAGCCACGAAACCAACCUAAACUUUCUUGGAGCACGUUUUAGUGUGGGAUUAGAGUAGCUUUGAAAGUCUAUUGUGAUGGUUGAGUGCAGAAGCAACUAGGGGAAAACUUCUCAGAUUUUCCGGCGGAUCCGUAGCUAGGUGUUUUCUGGCCACGGUUGUGAGUUAAAAUGGGUAUUAAUCGAAUCUCCAUCCUCUUAAUUUAAUUUUGACACUUAAAUGGUGAAGUCUAGUUGUGAAUUGAGCU
rnacentral:lncRNA from 1 species